AAUCUGUACUCUGCCACGGAUGAUCACAGAAUAGAAUCAUAGAAUAUCGCAAGUUGGGAGGGACCUGAAAGGAUCACUGAGUCCGAUACCUGGCUCCACACAGCACUACCCAGAAAUCUGACCAUGUGUCUGAAAGCAUUGUCCAGAUGGAUUCAAGAUGGAGAUGGGUGUUCUGUAGUCCUUACAGAGAGAUCAGGGCCUGCUUUUGUAAUAGGUACCAUUCAUACGUGUAUCAGAGCAGGAAGAAAAACUGGGGAAAGGAGAACAAGCCAGGGUAGGUACAGAAGGAGUGAUUUGCACAGGUUCGUAAAGCUUAUCAGCACCAAUAUGUUUUUUCUAAACCCUCCAUAAUGCUCUGAAUUGCUGGAAGCUGACAAGAAAUAUCUCAAGGAGGACUGUUUUAUUCUUGUUAUGUUUCCUAUACACCCACUCAAGCCCUCAGAGGCAGGAUAUUGGAUUAGACAGUUGUUAGGUCUGACCUAGCUUACUCUCAUGUAAUAAUUUCCCAAGCUGGAUCUAUUUUUUCACCUUGAUGUGAAGUAAUCACAUAGCUUGUUCUUCUCCUGCUGCCUGUGCCCUGCUGUAGUAUGUUUGAUGAUGCUAGUCUCGUUUCUGAUUUGUUUGUAUAACCAUGCCCAUAGUCUCAUCAUCAGCUAGGCACAAAAUAGGGCAUACAGUGGGCUGAGGGCAAGGAAGUAAAUGCAUGUACUGUGCUCCCACAGCAAGCAGUUCCUUGCUGCAUUAGACCAAUCCUGGGUGAGUGACAAGUCCUGAUUCAUAAUUAAAUCUUCCUUGGCUGGGUUGCCAUAUGAACUGGGAGAAAUGUUGUCAUCUUGGGGAAAGAAAAGCAAUGUACUCCCCAGUCUGAUUCCUAACUCGUGUUCCUCUGUAUUUUACUGUUUGCUGUAACAAAUAUCUUGUAAUUCAAGCUCUCCAUAGGUGGGGUCAAACUGUGCUCAGCAGAGUUUCAAUAGAUAGCAGAUUUCUUUCAAUUUAAAAUGACAAGUGUUUAGCUUUUAACUGACUCCUGCCAUUCACCAUAAAUCUCACCUUUCCUCCUCCCAGGUUAAACAUGUCAGCUCUGACUUUUGUCCAUCCACACAUUCUGAAAACAACAGCUUCUUAUUGCCUACAUGUAGAGAGUAGUGGAAGAUCAACAGUAAGAAAUAAAAGUUAGUUCUGCCCAA